rnacentral:rRNA from 1 species
GGGGGGACACGUCCCUCCGCCAUAAUUUACUUGAUGUUGAUAUUCCACGUGGAUAACUGUGGUAAUUCUAGAGCUAAUACAUGCACCAAAGCUCCGAUCUCAUGACGAGCGCAUCUAUUAGACCAAAAACCAAUCGAGAAUAUUCGCCUCAAAACGAAUGCCUCGUAAAUUUGGUGACUCUGAAUAGCUUAGCUGAUCGCAUGGUCUCGCACCGGCGACGUAUCUAUCAAGUGUCUGCCUUAUCAACUUUCGAUGGUAGUUUAUAUGCCUACCAUGGUUGUAACGGGUAACGGAGAAUAAGGGUUCGACUCCGGAGAGGGAGCCUGAGAAACGGCUACCACAUCCAAGGAAGGCAGCAGGCGCGCAAAUUACCCACUCUCAGCACGAGGAGGUAGUGACGAAAAAUAACGAGACCGUUCUCUUCGAGGCCGGUUAUCGGAAUGAGUACAAUUUAAAGCCGUUAACGAGGAUCUAUGAGAGGGCAAGUCUGGUGCCAGCAGCCGCGGUAAUUCCAGCUCUCAAAGUGUAUAUCGUCAUUGCUGCGGUUAAAAAGCUCGUAGUUGGAUUUAAGCUCGAUGACUCGGUCCCUUCCAUAGGAUAAGAACUGAGCUCAUCGGCUAUCAUCAGCUGGUAUUGUCUCGUGGCUUAAACCGCUUGGCUAGGGCGGGCAAGCAGGUUUACUUAGAAAAUUGGGGUGCUUCAAGGCGGCC